GACGAACCGUGCGAACGUUGUUCGGAAUCACUGGGCUUAAAGGGCGCGUAGGCGGCUUGUCAAGUCAGGGGUGAAAUACUUCAGCUUAACUGGAGAAGUGCCCUUGAUACUGACAGGCUCGAGGGAGGUAGGGGUCUGUGGAACUUCUGGUGGAGCGGUGAAAUGCGUUGAUAUCAGAAGGAACGCCGGUGGCGAAAGCGACGGACUGGAUCUCUUCUGACGCUGAGGCGCGAAAGCUAGGGGAGCAAACGGG
rnacentral:rRNA from 1 species